UGACUCUCGGCAAUGGAUAUCUCGGCUCUCGUGACGAUGAAGGACGUAGCGAGAUGCGAUACUUGGUGUGAAUUGCAGAAUCCCGUGAACCAUCGAGUUUUUGAACGCAAGUUGCGCCUGAGGCUAUUUGGCUAAGGGCACGCUUGCCUGGGCAUCACGUCUCGUGACGCUUUGUGCC
rnacentral:rRNA from 1 species